UGAAAUAGUAGUAGUAACAUCAUUGUUCGACGGAUUCGGUUUGUUUUAUAAGUGUAUAAUUUAUAGUAAUAUAAUAUUGGUUAUAUCAUCAAAACGUGAGUGAUUGACAUAAUAGAAUUUUAUGUACAAUAUGUACUUGUCUAAUUGAUCUAAGUAUGACACAUAUGGUGUAUAUUUGGUUCAAUAAUAAAGUAAAUUUAUUACAGCUGUUAAAGAAGGUCAAAAUUUUACUGGGUAUUUAGUUACAUCUUACUAACCGACAGAAGCAUACAUGUAAUCAUUAUAAAAAAGAUGGAUAAUUCACUGUUCAGUAACGACUAUGGAUGGUUGAAGUAUUUUCAUAAUAUGGCGAAUUUUGCAUGUCGAAGUCAGAUUUUUAUGAAGACUACUAAAGAUGUUAUGUGUAUGAUUUGCUAUUUUAAGUUUGACUUGUUUUCAUAUGGACUACAAACAGCAUCUUAUUGGAUAAUAAAAAUCCAGUCAGCACUACGUCGUGGAAUGAAUAUGUUGUCAAAUAUAAUGAUCUGUUUGUUUGAAGUACGGUUCUACUUAAAAUGGAAGAAAAGUUGUACUGAUCAUUUUGAAUCUAUAGUUGACGGAUUGUGUAAUGUUGAACAUGAAGUUGAAUGUGAGGUGUUAUACGAUCCAGGAGUGGAGUCAACUCUUAUAGAUGUUGUGUUCAUACAUGGUCUUAAAGGAGAUAAAUUCAAAACGUGGAAGCAAGGUUUAUGGAAGCAAGCUGUUCAUAUACCUCAACCAGUUGUUGUACGAAGUUCUGAAUCUGUGUCAUUUAAUAGUAAGAUGAUAGACAAAAUGUCUACCACUAAUAAGUUUACAGAUUUUACCAAUUGUUGGCCCAGAGAUUGGCUACCUUUGGAUUGUCCUUAUGUUCGAGUCAUCACUGUAAGCUACAGUACAGAUCCUUACUUGUGGAGACCUAUUUGGUUGAAGAAAUCUAUCAGAAGUUCAAUGAAAGAUAGAGGAUAUCAAAUGAUAUCACUCCUCCGAAAUUUUCAACUUGGGCAUAAUCCAAUAAUGUGGGUUGGUCAUUCCAAAGGAGGAUUAUUUAUUAAACAAAUAUUAGUACUCGCUAACAACGAAGAUAUUUCUCAUAAAAUACUAUUAAAUACCAAGGGUAUUUUAUUUUACAGUGUUCCUCAUAAUGGCUCUCCAUUGGCUAAUAUUAAAGUACCACUAUUCCAAAGAUCCAUUGAAUUAGAAGAACUUGUUAAUGAUAAUCAACAUAUCCAAAGAUUACAAAAGGAUUUUUAUCAAAUUAUCAAAAAUAUUGACCAAAUCAAAGUAAAAAGUUUUAUUGAAACAAAACUAACUCUUAUGAAACUUAUUUAUUUAAGAAUAGUAUCAAUACAAUCUGCAGGUUCAUAAAAAGAGGCGUAAAUAAGAUUUUCUUAAUAAGGAGGACACAAAAAAAAUUACAAACAUUUGUAUUUUGUAUCUUUUUUUCACUCGUUGAAUAUGUCAAACAUGACUCCUGUGAUCCUCUUUAGUUCGCCACUACUCGUGAAAUAUGAAAUGUAAGAUAAAUAUAAACAAAAUUACUAUAUACGGAGGUUCAGUAAGUGAGGAAACAGGUCAGUAGUUACAAACAAUAACAAUAGAAACCCGUUGCUAACUGAACACCUAUGUAAUCCUGUCAUAAGUAGUUUGAAAACAAUUUUCGAAGGAGGUUAAUUAUUAGCCUUACAAAAAAUUUUAAAGAUUUACAAGUAUAUAUAGGGUAUUCAUAAAGUAAGAAAAAAGGUGAAUUGUUACUAACAAUGAGAAUAAUAGAAACCCUUUUUUUUACUUACUAAACACUAUAUAACUUCCUAAAUGUUUAGGAGCUAUUUCUAUUUUCAGAAGUUUUCAGCUACUCCAAUCACUCCCAAAUUGUUUAAUGGGGCUGUUAUAUAAAAAUUAUUUUUUGGAGUGUGUAUGGACAAUUUAAAUUUAACCUCCACAAAACAUUUGUUCACUUAUAAUAAACAGGGGUUUUCUUUUAUAUAAGUAAAUAUAAAUUAUUGGUAUUAAGAUAUGGGCAAUUAUUUUGUAGAUCCUGGAUUAGGAGACUUAUAUGGCGUACCACUAGACCAUCGCAAUAUUUGUAAACCAAAAGAUCGUCAUUGUUUCCUAUAUCAAGAACUAGUAAAUAUGAUAGAUACACUGAAGGAUCAUCUGAAGAACCAGCAGUAAUAUGAUGAAG